UACGUAGGGUGCAAGCGUUGUCCGGAAUUAUUGGGCGUAAAGAGCUCGUAGGCGGUCUGUUGCGUCGGCUGUGAAAACCCGGGGCUCAACCCCGGGCCUGCAGCCGAUACGGGCAGACUAGAGUUCGGCAGGGGAGACUGGAAUUCCUGGUGUAGCGGUGAAAUGCGCAGAUAUCGGGAGGAACACCAGUAGCGAAGGCGGCACUCUGGGCCGGUACUGACGCUGAGGAGCGAAAGCGUGGGGAGCGAACAGG
rnacentral:rRNA from 1 species